UAAUCCGGGUUGCGGACAGUGUCUGGUGGGUAGUUUGACUGGGGCGGUCUCCUCCUAAAGAGUAACGGAGGAGCACGAAGGUUGGCUAAUCCUGGUCGGACAUCAGGAGGUUAGUGCAAUGGCAUAAGCCAGCUUGACUGCGAGCGUGACGGCGCGAGCAGGUGCGAAAGCAGGUCAUAGUGAUCCGGUGGUUCUGAAUGGAAGGGCCAUCGCUCAACGGAUAAAAGGUACUCCGGGGAUAACAGGCUGAUACCGCCCAAGAGUUCAUAUCGACGGCGGUGUUUGGCACCUCGAUGUCGGCUCAUCACAUCCUGGGGCUGAAGUAGGUCCCAAGGGUAUGGCUGUUCGCCAUUUAAAGUGGUACGCGAGCUGGGUUUAGAACGUCGUGAGACAGUUCGGUCCCUAUCUGCCGUGGGCGCUGGAGAACUGAGGGGGGCUGCUCCUAGUACGAGAGGACCGGAGUGGACGCAUCACUGGUGUUCGGGUUGUCAUGCCAAUGGCACUGCCCGGUAGCUAAAUGCGGAAGAGAUAAGUGCUGAAAGCAUCUAAGCACGAAACUUGCCCCGAGAUGAGUUCUCCCUGACUCCUUGAGGGUC
rnacentral:rRNA from 1 species